rnacentral:rRNA from 1 species
UUGUUUCAAAGAUUAAGCCAUGCAUGUCUAAGUCCAAGCUGUGUCUGACACGGCGAGACCGCGGACGGCUCAUUAAAUCAGUCGUGGUCCAAAUGGGCCAGUGUUUAUUCUACUUGGAUAACUGUGGUAAUUCCAGAGCUAAUACAUGCAACUGAUAUCCCGACGACGUGUUUUGUUCUCUUGUAGGACUCUACUAGCUCUGACGGAUGCUUUUAUUAGACCAAACCGCCGAGAGUGACGGUAUCUCGUGUACAACUACUGUGCUCGUAGUGCCUCGCUUUACUCGUGUUGGGUGACUCCGGAUAACCUUUUUGACGAGCGCACGUAUCACUCUUUGAGUUGGACGGCGCUGCCACUUUCGAGUGUCUGCCUUAUCAGCUAUCAACCGUUCGUUAUGUGCGACCGAUGGCAUUGACGGGUAACGGAGAAUCAGGGUUCGAUUCCGGAGAGGCAGCCUGAGAAACGGCUACCACGUCCAAGGACGGCAGCAGGCACGCAAAUUACCCAAUCCCAGCUACUGGGGGAGGUAGUGACGAAAUCUAACGAUGCGGGCGCCCUUUCUAGGGCCCCGCAAUCGGAAUGAGCACUUUCUAAAAAACCUGUUGAGAACCUACUGAAGGGCAAGUCUGGUGCCAGCAGCCGCGGUAAUUCCAGCUUCAGUAGCAUCUAUUAAAGUUGCUGCGGUUAAAAGGCUCGCAGUUGAAGUUCAGUACUGAGCGCAGGUUAGGUGGACGUUGGAACGUGGGUAUUAAAGGUGUCGUGCGUACGGGCGUGCUUGCACGUACCGGCCACGCUCCUGUCUCACAAGUUUCCGUCCGUGAACAGCCUCCUCGCUUGCGUACAUAUGGGAAUUUGUCUAACGGAGUGUACGCGGUGCUCGCAUCUAGACGUUCGCGUCGACAUGUGGAGGCUCGUACGUUAAGCUCCUUCGGUUUCAUAGUCACCUUGAGUAAAUCAGAGUGCUCAAAGCAGUCGUAGGGGCCUUGUGCCCUGUGAAAAGUCUUAACGGACUGACUUGGUUUUGCAUGGCAUGUCGGAAUACGACGUCGCGUGCUGGCUCAGAGUUCUUUCUGGUGGUGUAAGCCAGCCGCGACGUACUGAUUAAAAGGAUCGGUCGAGGGCAUUGGUAUUGCGGGGCGAGAGGUGAAAUUCUAUAACCCCCGCAAGACCUCCUGAAGCGAAAGCGUCUGCCAAGGAUGUUUUCAUUAAUCAUGAACGAAAGUUAGAGGAUCGAAGGCGAUCAGAUACCGCCCUAGUUCUAACCCUAAACGAUGCCAACCAUCAAUCCGCGCGUAGUACCCUUCUUAACGGACUCGGCGGGCAGCUCCCCAUUCACGGGAAACCAGAGUCUCUGGGUUCCGGGGGGAGUCUGGUUGCAAAGCUGAAACUUAAAGGAAUUGACGGAAAGGCACCACCAGGCGUGGAGCCUGCGGCUUAAUUUGACUCAACACGGGCCACCUCACCAGGCCAGCACUCUUGUACGAUUGACAGAUUGAGAGCUCUUUCUCGAUUCAGUGGAUGGUGGUGCAUGGCCGUUCUUAGUUGGUGGAGUGAUCUGUCUGGUUAAUUCCGAUAACGAACGAGACUCUCCCCUACUAACUAGUCGGUUGGAUCUUGCUCGGUGAGUUGUGUGCCGAGUAUACUCGGAGUGCUUGAUGGUGUGCGUUGGUCGGUGCGCAGCAUUGCUGUGCCCUUCCUCGUGCACUCCUGCCUUCGAGCCUCGGGUCACACACUCCAAGUCCGCCGCUUAUGCUUAUGACUCUUCUUAGAGGGAUUCACGGUACUGAAGCCGUAAGAGACUGAGAGCAAUAACAGGUCUGUGAUGCCCUUAGAUGCUCUGGGCCGCACGCGCGCUACAAUGCCGGGCGCAACAGGUAGUUUUCCUAUUCCGCCAGGAACGGGUAACCUUUUGAAAGCCCUUGCUUUAUCGUGUCUGACACGAAUGGCGUGCUUGGGCCUGGGGCUUGCAAUUCUUUCCCACAAACGAGGAAUGCCUAGUAGCGGCGGGUCACUGAGCCCGCCGUGAUUCAGUCCCUGCCCUUUGUACACACCGCCCGUCGCUACUACCGAUUGGGUGUACCAGUGAGAGCCUUGGACUGGCGUCCGUUGCCUUCGGGCAAACGGUUUCGACGGAAAGAGGUCCGAACUGGUGCACU